rnacentral:rRNA from 1 species
UUUGGUGGCCACAAAGCGACUGUCCGACCCGAUCCCUUCCCGAACUCGGCCGUCAAAAGUCGUCUUGCCGAUGGUAGUGCAUGUAUAGCUUGCGCGAGAGUAGGUUGCCGCCUUCC